rnacentral:rRNA from 1 species
AUUGAACGCUGGCGGCAGGCCUAACACAUGCAAGUCGAGCGGAUGAAGGGAGCUUGCUCCUGGAUUCAGCGGCGGACGGGUGAGUAAUGCCUAGGAAUCUGCCCGGUAGUGGGGGAUAACGUCCGGAAACGGGCGCUAAUACCGCAUACGUCCUGAGGGAGAAAGUGGGGGAUCUUCGGACCUCACGCUAUCAGAUGAGCCUAGGUCGGAUUAGCUAGUUGGUGGGGUAAAGGCCUACCAAGGCGACGAUCCGUAACUGGUCUGAGAGGAUGAUCAGUCACACUGGAACUGAGACACGGUCCAGACUCCUACGGGAGGCAGCAGUGGGGAAUAUUGGACAAUGGGCGAAAGCCUGAUCCAGCCAUGCCGCGUGUGUGAAGAAGGUCUUCGGAUUGUAAAGCACUUUAAGUUGGGAGGAAGGGCAGUAAGUUAAUACCUUGCUGUUUUGACGUUACCAACAGAAUAAGCACCGGCUAA